CGUCGCUUUUCGUGCGCUUAUAAAACCCAGUUUUUGUGUAGAUUUCUGUGUACAAGCUUGAUUUCCUUGCUACCUAUCCGUGUUACCUCUGUGAUUGUGGGUGGUUGUUGUGUGCAAUUCGAUCGGGAGUUGCUAAUUGUUGUUCACCUGUAAAACCUGUUACCAUGAGCGGUUCGAAUGUGGGAGCUACUAUCUGUGGAGCACACCCUAAAAUGAAACAAUC